ACUCCUACGGGAGGGCAGCAGUGGGAAUGAUUGCACAAUGGGCGCAAGCCUGAUGCAGCCAUGCCGCGUGUGUGAAGAAGGCCUUCGGGUUGUGAAAGCACUUUCAGGUUGUGAGGAAAGGUUAGUCGCUAAUAUCGGCUAGCUGUGACGUUAGCAACAGAAGAAGCACCGGCUAACUCCGUGCCAGCAGCCGCGGUAAUACGGAGGGUGCGAGCGUUAA
rnacentral:rRNA from 1 species